UUUCUAAUCAAUAACCUUCAAGCUAGUUAGACUACAAAACAUUACAUGACAACAAUGACAAACAGCAAAAAAAAAAAAAAAGAAAGAAAGAAGGAAAAGCACCUUUCUUUAUCUCGACAUUCAAAUUUCUGAUACAUGAUAUUACAUUUUAUAUUUGAUUGAUGAUAACUUAAUAUGUGAAAUCUUGUUCCGUUGUUGGCAUAGAGUUGACUGUUUUGGUAUAAACUACCGAAUGACAUAUUAGUAGAUUAAACUGUGACAUUAACUAGAUUUCUAGGUCCUUUCCUUGAUAUAGCGAGAGUUGACGGAAAAGACAGAUCAAUUUUUCGAUUGAUGAAGUCAAUUUUUUUUUUAUAUAUAUUUCAUUUAAAAUUAGUUUCGAAUUUUACAAAAUCUAUAUACUGUUGACCUGUCUUCCAGCGCGCGACAGGAAGCGGCAUUGAUAUUUAACCCCCACUUUGCUGUGAGAACCUAGACUACUGAAUCAUAAAAAUUUUCCAUGUUUUAAUUGUUUAAUUAUUGUCUUUGCUAGUCGUUUGUUAUAUUCGUAAGUCAAUCCUUAUCAAAAAUAAUGUGUGUGUUGGUACCGAAGACUUGUUAAUUGUUAGACAUCCAUUAUUAAAGCGUGUGACAAUGACGUCAUCUUGUGUCCAGCAUAAUAUACCGAGAUUACAAACCUUGCUUCUGUUGAUACCAGGUUUAACGCUCAUUUCUCAUUGGUAGUUAUGUAAUUGUUAAAUUAAACGUGUUUUUAUAAAUG
rnacentral:misc_RNA from 1 species